rnacentral:snRNA from 1 species
AUACUCUGGUUUUCUCUUCAUAUCGUAUAAAUCUUUCGCCUUUUACUAAAGAUUUCCGUGGAGAGGAACAGGUAAGAGUUAUCAACUAAUUUUUUGAGGCCUUAAAAAAAUAAGGCC